GGGCUCUCCACUAGCUUCAACAUCCAUGGGCCAACUUUCCCCUGGUAUGCAAGAGUUAGGACCAGGUUCAUCCAUUGGAGUUAUAGGUUCAGUAGGUGCUUUCUCGACCCUGGUACUUGACAUCAAAGUAUCAGAAAGGUCGUCUCUAUCUUCCUGGCUUCCAAGAUUUUCGAUAGAUUUUUCAUCUGCUAAACAAGACGACUGUUGACCUUUCAACUGAACGUCAACACCAGAAACAGAUUGAAUUUCAACAUCCGCUUCAAAUGUCUGAAGAUUAUGGGCUAAAUUAU
rnacentral:misc_RNA from 1 species